GCACUGCAUCAUUACUACAAUAUGCCAAUGUAUUCUGAGGGUCUUACAGAAGUAGGAGUGAGCGUUGACAUCCCCAGAUGCAGAUGUCCCUAAGAGAGGAUCUGUAGAUCCUACAUCGAGGAGACCACAUAAAAUGGCAAGUGAUAAUGUCAAAGCUAUGAUCACUUCUUCUCUUCUCAUCUCAUGACAAGUGCUUAACGAGCAAAUCCUAUCACAAAAGUAGCAGACAAGUUCCUUGAUGGGUGCGCAAGAACACAUCUCCCCAUGUACUACUAACACAUAAAAUAAUCAGCACUGAGGAGAAUAUAUUGAGUUAAGAUGCUGCAAUCCCCAACAACAAAUACUUUCGGUUGCAUGUGAUUUCGGGCCUUGUGUUGAUGAGUACUGCUAAGCCUUCAACGUCUUACCUGUUGGAGCUCUACACAUACUUUAGCUUCUCUUCAUUUCCUGUGUUGUUCGCAAGAUGAAACCAAUUACUUGAAGCUCUUCGUUGUGUUGAUGAGUGCUGCUAAGCCUUCAACGUCUUACCUGUUGGAGCUCUACACAUGCUUUAGCUUCUCUUCCUUUCCUGUGUUGUUCGCAAGAUGAAACCAAUUACUUGAAGCUCUUCG
rnacentral:lncRNA from 1 species